GGCCCAAUGGUCUAGUCGUAUGAUACGCGCUUCGGGGGUUUUAACUUCUGGUUCGAUCUGAACUUUAAUUGUGCGUGGUCCCGGGUUCAAUUCCCGGUUGGGCCC